rnacentral:rRNA from 1 species
UACGUAGGGUGCGAGCGUUAAUCGGAAUUACUGGGCGUAAAGCGUGCGCAGGCGGUUGUGCAAGACAGAUGUGAAAUCCCCGGGCUUAACCUGGGAACUGCAUUUGUGACUGCAUAGCUAGAGUGUGUCAGAGGGGGGUAGAAUUCCACGUGUAGCAGUGAAAUGCGCAGAUAUCGGGAAGAACACCCGUGGCGAAGGCGGCUCUCUGGAACGCAACUGACGCUGAGACGCGAAAGCGUGGGGAGCAAACAGG